GUCUUGUGUUCUAUACUUCGACAUGUACACUUAAAGCUCCUUGAAAAUAGGCACAAAGUACAGGAUGUGUUUGAUAGCUACAUCAAAUGUGAAAAGAGUGUUGCGUCAUUAUUUUAUAACAAAGCUGUUUUAAUGUUUUUAAUGUAGAGUAAUAAAGUAAAGUAGUGAAACAUUUCAUGCAUUUCUUAUAAUGGUAGCUGACAAAACCUCCCUCCAGGGCACUGCACCCAGCCAUUGUACGUCGAAUGUGAAAUUUGCAUAUUUAAGUGCACGCGAGUCUAAAAGACGAGAAGUGUUGGUGUUAUCAAUCUUUCUUUGACGUCGUCUGUCUUUCAUUGCAGAGCAGUAAGCAUACCACUUUAAAGUGAGAAGAACGCUCUCGUUCUCGUUCUUAACCAUUUAAUGCUUCUUGUGCUAGAAUCUCAACAUAUUCAUAUUUCUAUUAUUCUAUAAGAUAAAAUGAGGAGCGCUUGCCUGCGCCUUUAAAAGCGACAUAAAAUUAUUUAAUCAUAGUAACAGCUAUUUUCAAGUAACUGUUCUACUACACGAGCAAUGAUCCCAUUUUUAGCGGUCAGAAGUUGCUGCACUCAAAAAACAAACAGAAGUCUCACUCUGCUAUGAAUUUUGUGAGAUGCAUAUUUUACAACGCAUGUUAUCAGUGGCGGGUUCUAGGGUUGGUAAAGUCCUAAGGACAGUUGGUGUUUACUCUAUCGCAUAAUUAAAACUUUUCUUGAACACAUUAGGUAUUUAUAAACUAUUCUAGUUAUAGCAGUAACGGUUAUACCUGACGUAAUGCACAUAUGCUUUGAAAUGACGUAAUGCGCGUGCUUUCGAAUGACGUAAGUACAGCAAGCGUAACCCACGUUCGUGCUUACACAAUACAAAAGGAAAAUGAAAUUUGAUAGUUUCAAGUAAUUGAUCAAUUACCUAAAAAUACUUCCUGACGCAUGUAACAAUUCAAGAGUCAAUUUCAUUUUUACAAGUCAGCACAUUUUUAU